GGUAACAGGAAACAGCUUGCUGUUUCGCUGACGAGUGGCGGACGGGUGAGUAAUGUCUGGGAAACUGCCUGAUGGAGGGGGAUAACUACUGGAAACGGUAGCUAAUACCGCAUAACGUCGCAAGACCAAAGAGGGGGACCUUCGGGCCUCUUGCCAUCAGAUGUGCCCAGAUGGGAUUAGCUAGUAGGUGGGGUAACGGCUCACCUAGGCGACGAUCCCUAGCUGGUCUGAGAGGAUGACCAGCCACACUGGAACUGAGACACGGUCCAGACUCCUACGGGAGGCAGCAGUGGGGAAUAUUGCACAAUGGGCGCAAGCCUGAUGCAGCCAUGCCGCGUGUAUGAAGAAGGCCUUCGGGUUGUAAAGUACUUUCAGCGGGGAGGAAGGGAGUAAAGUUAAUACCUUUGCUCAUUGACGUUACCCGCAGAAGAAGCACCGGCUAACUCCGUGCCAGCAGCCGCGGUAAUACGGAGGGUGCAAGCGUUAAUCGGAAUUACUGGGCGUAAAGCGCACGCAGGCGGUUUGUUAAGUCAGAUGUGAAAUCCCCGGGCUCAACCUGGGAACUGCAUCUGAUACUGGCAAGCUUGAGUCUCGUAGAGGGGGGUAGAAUUCCAGGUGUAGCGGUGAAAUG
rnacentral:rRNA from 1 species